ACUCAAAGGAAUAGACGGGGGCCCGCACAAGCGGUGGAGCAUGUGGUUUAAUUCGAUGCAACGCGAAGAACCUUACCCAGGCUUGACAUGUACUGGACCGGUGUGGAAACACACCUUCCCCGCAAGGGGCCGGUGCACAGGUGCUGCAUGGCUGUCGUCAGCUCGUGUCGUGAGAUGUUGGGUUAAGUCCCGCAACGAGCGCAACCCUUGCCCCUAGUUGCUAACAAGUCAAGUUGAGCACUCUAGGGGGACUGCCGUCGAUAGGACGGAGGAAGGUGGGGAUGACGUCAAGUCCUCAUGGUCCUUACGCCUGGGGCUACACACGUGCUACAAUGGCCGGUACAAAGGGUUGCAAAACCGUGAGGUAGAGCCAAUCCCAAAAAACCGGUCUCAGUUCGGAUUGCAGUCUGCAACUCGACUGCAUGAAGUCGGAAUCGCUAGUAAUCGCUGAUCAGCAGGCAGCGGUGAAUAUGUUCCCGGGCCUUGUACACACCGCCCGU
rnacentral:rRNA from 1 species